UACAGAGGGGGCAAGCGUUAUUCGGAAUUAUUGGGCGUAAAGGGCGCGUAGGCGGCUUGGCAAGUGGAAGGUGAAAUCCCUCGGCUUAACCGAGGAACUGCCCUCCAAACUGCUUCGCUUGAGACCGGGAGAGGUGAGUGGAAUUCCCAGUGUAGCGGUGAAAUGCGUAGAUAUUGGGAGGAACACCAGUGGCGAAGGCGGCUCACUGGACCGGUACUGACGCUGAUGCACGAAAGCUGGGGGAGCAAACAGG
rnacentral:rRNA from 1 species